UACUACCCUCACCACUUCUCAGUCCAGUCGCCCGACCCUCCCCAUAAAUCAACCCUCCCCUUACCUCAGCAACUCACCCUCUUAAUCUGAGAACCAGAGCCGGCCCUUGGGGAGGGCAACUGGGGCCUGGGCCCGGGGCCCAUAAUUGAAAGGGGCACCAAAAAAAUAAAGUUAAGCCAUAUAUUAUAUACGUAUAGAACAAAACAAAUAAAAUAAAUAAAUUAAAAACCAAGCGUGCAUUUUUGUUUAAUCCUCCCUUCCCAAAAGCGCGUGCUCACCCAUAUAUGCUAGCAAAUAUAUUGUUUUUAAAUCCUUUUCCAAAAAAAAAAACAAAACAAAACAAAACAAAACAAAACCAGACCACACUAGGGUUUAGAUUCUUGUUGUCUCAAUUUUCUUAUAUAUGUACCUAUCAUCCCUCACUCACAGUCACACCGCGGCCUCUCUCCUCUCCAUUGCCUCUCUCUUUCGUCUUUCCUAUCAUUUCCCCUCCAUGACAGAAGAGACGAAGCCAACAGAGCUAUUCAAGAUCGCCAAUUGAGAACUUAUUCAUUGAGAAUUGAGAUGGGUUUCAGGUGCAGACCCAGAUAAACAACAAAGAUGAUUUUUCUUGGGUUUUAAUCAGUUUUGCAGGGAGAACGUGAGUUUUUUAAUGGAUUACUUGGUUUAAACAUGAAAAUUUAUCUGAAGAUUUACCAAAUGAAUUGUUCAUAUUCAUUUGGAAGAAUAAGCAGAAAAUGAAAAUGAAUUGAAAGUUUAUGAUGCAAAAAUGGCAGAUUUACUUUUAGAAAAGUUUCAUGUGGGAGAAACUAACUGCAAAUUCCCUAUGGAUGAACACGAUGACAUUUUUCCUCAAAUUAUUAUCAUCAAAAAAUAACAAACGGGAAGGCUUAUGUUGUAAAAACAAUGAAUGCUAUAAUUUUAAUAAAAUUAA